GCAGAAAGAUAAUGAUACUUAUAAACAUAAAAGACAGAAGGCGGAAACUAUAUAAGAUGGAUAUGAAACAUGUCUGAAAGGGAUUAAUUGGAAGACAAACACUUUAAAAUAUUUUUUUCUAUUUUUUUUAAAUUUUCUCGCUCCUUAAUUUUUUUCUCUUUCCCCCCUCCUUUCCUAUCACCACCAUUGUUCUCACUCUUUUUUAUGCCUAGAAACACUCAAUAAAAACAUUUGUAAAAAGGGGCCUGAGGGGCAAAACCACACAACAAAAUGGCGCCGGCCUUAUCCGCAGCGUGCCCUUCCCGCCUUUUUGUGCCCGAGGGGAGGGGGCGGGAGGGGGAAAACAACAACAACUCCCUUCUGCGCAGGCGCAGGAGGGGGAAGCCUGGUCUCUGCGCAGGCGCACUACCCCCAGUCCCUUUUCUGAGGGGAAAAAGCCUUCCUUCAGGCGACGAGGGCGGUUGGCUUCUCUGUCCUGUCUCUCUUUCGAGGUGAAGAGCGAAUUCCCUCCUCAUAAUAAUUAUAAGAAUAAGAAUAGGAAUAAGAAGAGUUGGAAUAAGAAUGGAUUUCCCCAGUACUUGGAUGGAAAAACAAUUUGCAACUUAAGUGAUACAAUUGGAAACAUACAAAAGGUAAAUAUUAGACUAGAAUUAAACUUGCUACAAUUACAAAUUUGAUACAGUGAAAAUGUAUUUUUUAAAGCUGUUAUUUGUUUUUUGAAGCCAUUCUUUUUGCAACAACUUCUUUAGCUGAGACCCUGAGGAAAAAAAGGACUGUUUCAGCCAGGCAGUAGAGCUCAUGUAUUUUUUACUUAUUUCUUCUUUGUUACGUUAGGGAUUUUUAAAAUCCUGUGAAAGCUUUAUGUGUCCAGAA
rnacentral:lncRNA from 11 species